UCCGACUUAACGUCGGCAGUCUCGUUAGAGUGCCCAUCUUUCAUGUUGGCAACUAACAACAGGGGUUGCGCUCGUUAUAGGACUUAACCUGACACCUCACGGCACGAGCUGACGACAACCAUGCAGCACCUUGUAAAUUGUCUUGCGAAAGAUCUGUUUCCGAACCGGUCAAUCUACAUUUAAGCCUUGGUAGGUUCCUCGCGUAUCAUCGAAUUAAACCACAUGCUCCACCGCUUGUGCGGGCCCCCGUCAAUUCCUUUGAGUUUCAUUCUUGCGAACGUACACCCCAGGUGGGAUACUUAUCACUUUCGCUUAGCCACUCAGAUUGCUCCGAACAGCUAGUAUCCAUCGUUUACGGCGUGGACUAC
rnacentral:misc_RNA from 1 species